GAACUGAGACACGGUCCAGACACCUACGGGUGGCAGCAGUCGAGAAUCAUUCGCAAUGGGGGAAACCCUGACGAUGCGACGCCGCGUGGAGGAUGAAGGCCUUAGGGUUGUAAACUCCUGUCAAGAGGGAAUAAGCAAGUGAAGGUACCUCUAGAGGAAGGGGCGGCUAAUUCCGUGCCAGCAGCCGCGGUAACACGGAAGCCCCGAGCGUUGUUCGGAUUCAUUGGGCGUAAAGGGUGCGUAGGCGGCGCGGAAAGUCCGGCGUGAAAGGCAGGGGCUCAACCUCUGGACUGCGUUGGAUACUUCCGUGCUUGAGGACUGGAGGGGAGACUGGAAUUCACGGUGUAGCAGUGAAAUGCGUAGAUAUCGUGAGGAAGACCGGUGGCGAAGGCGAGUCUCUGGACAGAUCCUGACGCUGAGGCACGAAGGCUGGGGGAGCGAACAGGAUUAGAUACCCUGGUAGUCCCAGCAGUAAACGAUGUGAGCUUGAUGUGGGGGGAUUCGACCCCUUCCGUGUCGAAGCUAACGCGAUAAGCUCACCGCCUGAGGAGUACGGCCGCAAGGCUAAAACUCAAAGAAAUUGACGGGGACCCGCACAAGCGGUGGAGUAUGUGGCUUAAUUCGAUGCAACGCGAAGAACCUUACCUGGCCUUGACAUGCAUUGUGUCGUCGGUGAAAGCCGGCUAGUCCUGGAAACAGGACGCUUUGCACAGGUGCUGCAUGGCUGUCGUCAGCUCGUGUCGUGAGAUGUUGGGUUAAGUCCCGCAACGAGCGCAACCCUUGUGGUCAGUUACUAACCGGCUUAGCCGGAGGACUCUGGCCAGACUGCCCUGUCAAACGGGGAGGAAGGUGGGGACGACGUCAAGUCAGUAUGGCCCUUAUGGCCAGGGCUGCACACGUACUACAAUGCCCGGUACAAUGUGAACCGAAACCGCGAGGUGGAGGAAAUCGCUCUUGAAAACCGGGCCCAGUUCGGAUUGGAGUCUGCAACUCGACUCCAUGAAGUCGGAAUCGCUAGUAAUGGCGUAUCAGCAACGACGCCGUGAAUACGUUCCCGGGUCUUGUACACACCGCCCGUCACAUCAU
rnacentral:rRNA from 1 species